rnacentral:rRNA from 1 species
AGCAGCAGCCGCGGGAAUACGGAGGGUGCAAGCGUUAAUCGGAAUUACUGGGCGUAAAGCGCACGCAGGCGGUCUGACAAGUCAGAUGUGAAAUCCCCGGGCUUAACCUGGGAACUGCAUUUGAAACUGUCAGGCUGGAGUCUUGUAGAGGGGGGUGGAAUUCCAGGUGUAGCGGUGAAAUGCGUAGAGAUCUGGAGGAAUACCGGUGGCGAAGGCGGCCCCCUGGACUAAGACUGACGCUCAGGUGCGAAAGCGUGGGGAGCAAACAGGAUUAGAUACCCCGGUAGUCCCUGUCUCUUAUCC